AUACGUAGGUGACAAGCGAUAACCGGAUUUAAAGGGCGUAAAGGGUGCGAAGGCGGUACAGCAAGUGGGAAGUGGAAUACCCGGGCUUAACCCGGGGGUGUCAUUUGAAACUGCUAUACUUGAGUGCAGAAGAGGAAAGCGGAAUUCCCAGUGUAGCGGUGAAAUGCGUAGAUAUUGGGAGGAACACCAGUGGCGAAGUCGACUUACUUGACUGUAACUGACGCUGAGGCGCGAAAGUGUGGGGAGCAAACAGGAUUAGAUACCCUGGUAGUCCACACUGUAAACGAUGAAUGCUAGGUGUAGGGGGUAUCGACCCCUUCUGUGCCGCAGUUAACACAAUAAGCAUUCCGCCUGGGGAGUACGGCCGCAAGGUUGAAACUCAAAUGAAUUGGCGGGG
rnacentral:rRNA from 1 species